GAUGAACGCUGGCGGCGUGCCUAAUACAUGCAAGUCGAGCGCUGAAACGAGGAGCUUGCUCUUCUUGGGUGAGUUGCGAACGGGUGAGUAACGCGUAGGUAACCUGCCUUGAAGCGGGGGAUACCUAUUGGAAACGAUAGCUAAUACCGCAUAAAAAUGGAAGCCACAUGUCAUAUAUUUGAAAGGGGCAAUUGCUCCACUUAAAGAUGGACCUGCGUUGUAUUAGCUAGUAGGUGAGGUAAUGGCUCACCUAAGCGACGAUACAUAGCCGACCUGAGAGGGGUGACCGCCCACCCUGGACCGGAGACACGGUCAAGAUCCCUACGGGAGGAACAGUAGGGGAUCUUUGGGAAUGGGGGGAACGCUGGACGAGCCACGGCGGGUGAGGGAAGGAAGGUCUUCGGUCGGUAAACUCUUGUGAGAGGGGAGGACGGGUUGGAUAAUUAAAAGUUCACGUUUUGACGGUACCUUACCAGAAAGCGACGGCUAACUACGUG
rnacentral:rRNA from 1 species